GGGUCAACUAACUCUUUAAUAAGGUCUAUCAUUGAGUCCAUUCCUCCUUCAGCAAUAUUCCAGUCAAAUUUAAUACUUAAUAAUCUAACAGCAAUAGACAAAUGAGAAUGCGAACACCCGUCAAAUAAAAAAUGACUAGCAGCAUGCAAUUGUUCAUGGAAUUUGCCCGUUUCACUAUUAGGAACAUCCUCGACAUUUUCUCUAAAGUCGCCCUCGUGUUGCAUCUCAAAAGCAUCGUUCACCAUUUCUGCCAUCCUAGUAUCUUGAUAUUCAUUAUGCCCUACAGACCUACUACUUUCUCCAACAAUAAAGUUAUUUUGCGCAACAUCAUCAUGAAUACCACGCAAUCUUAAAAAGUCCUCGUGAAACCCCCUUCUAUAAAGAUGUUCCUUUGCAUCUUCUUCAUUUAAAAGAUUUAUACCAUCGC
rnacentral:lncRNA from 1 species